GGGCAGGAAGCCGGCCAAGGCUGCAGACAUGGCCCUUCUGAGGGGGAAGAGGGUGUUUGUACGUGGGUGAUUCUCUGCAAAGACAGACUGGGUGUGAAGAUUGUCUGGCAAGAAGAGGGCAGGAGGAGUGACACGGCGAGGGAGAACAGCCAGGCUGCAUCUCUGAUCCCGACAGUUCUGUCAUGUCUUGCAACAAAUUAGCUUUGGGCAAACAUCAAAGGAAAACAGGGGCCGCAGCUAAGCUCAUUAUGCAAAUGAGCUUUGGGUCCUACUGCAAACACUGUGCGGUACACACGAGAAAGAUGAUCCUACAAGUUAUAAGGAGAGCGAUGGUGAGUGUGAUAAGACAGGAAGCAGUUACUGACCUCAUGAAGAGCUUCGUUGGCUACCUGGUGUCCAGCAUCUGGAGAGGAAGGACAGAAUUAUGUAAGAGGACAGCAGAUGAUUUUUUUGUGUAGCG